AUGCCCUAUGAUGAUGUAUAUACCGCCCCAGGCUGAGUCCUGUGACUGAUUGGUUACCAUAUUCUGAGGCAU